rnacentral:rRNA from 1 species
GGUCUGGCGGCGAGUGGCGAACGGGUGAGUAAUGUAUCGGAACGUGCCCAGUAGCGGGGGAUAACUACUCGAAAGAGUAGCUAAUACCGCAUACGCCCUACGGGGGAAAGGGGGGGAUCGCGAGACCUCUCACUAUUGGAGCGGCCGAUAUCGGAUUAGCUAGUUGGUGAGGUAAAGGCUCACCAAGGCGACGAUCCGUAGCUGGUUUGAGAGGACGACCAGCCACACUGGGACUGAGACACGGCCCAGACUCCUACGGGAGGCAGCAGUGGGGAAUUUUGGACAAUGGGGGCAACCCUGAUCCAGCCAUCCCGCGUGUGCGAUGAAGGCCUUCGGGUUGUAAAGCACUUUUGGCAGGAAAGAAAUCGCAUGGAUUAAUACUCUGUGUGGAUGACGGUACCUGCAGAAUAAGCACCGGCUAACUACGUGCCAGCAGCCGCGGUAAUACGUAGGGUGCAAGCGUUAAUCGGAAUUACUGGGCGUAAAGCGUGCGCAGGCGGUUCGGAAAGAAAGAUGUGAAAUCCCAGGGCUUAACCUUGGAACUGCGUUUUUAACUCCCGAGCUAGAGUGCGUCAGAGGGGGGUGGAAUUCCGCGUGUAGCAGUGAAAUGCGUAGAUAUGCGGAGGAACACCGAUGGCGAAGGCAGCCCCCUGGGAUGACACUGACGCUCAUGCACGAAAGCGUGGGGAGCAAACAGGAU